GAUCACACACAAAAUGUUAAUUCCGUGGAGUAAUGAGGAACGAAAUGCUACCACUGCUCUUUCACACACAAGAGGUAAAAAGGGCUAAGCAAAGCUGAAGGCCAGUCUGAAACACAUUCAAAAUUGACUGGAAAACUUUUUAUAGUAAGAUUGGAAAAUUUCCUUAUCAUAUUUGCUGUGAAAUCACUUGUUACUUGCCAGUUACAGUAGAACUUUGAAUAAUCGAUAACCGCAGCCAUUCUAGAAGGAGAAAAG